UUUAUCAUAGGUCAAACAAGACCAGAGGAACUUAGACAAAAAAAUUCGUAAUUUCUGAAAAGUCAAAAGCAUUUUUAAACAAUUAAAAAUAUGCACAAAAACAAUUAAAUCAUGAAAAAUAUCAAAAUUAAUCCAAAAAAUAAUUUUAAUUCAGAAAUUUAAAGAGAAAAAUAUUUAAAUUUUUUUGGUGAAAGUCCCAUAUUUUUUGGAUUAAAAAUGAAAUUAAUAGGAAUUAAUCAAAAUAAAAGGAUUAAUGGAAAAAUAAAA
rnacentral:lncRNA from 1 species